rnacentral:rRNA from 1 species
UACGUAGGGUGCAAGCGUUAAUCGGAAUUACUGGGCGUAAAGCGUGCGCAGGCGGUGAUGUAAGACAGGUGUGAAAUCCCCGGGCUUAACCUGGGAACUGCAUUUGUGACUGCAUUGCUGGAGUGCGGCAGAGGGGGAUGGAAUUCCGCGUGUAGCAGUGAAAUGCGUAGAUAUACGGAGGAACACCGAUGGCGAAGGCAAUCCCCUGGGCCCGCACUGACGCUCAUGCACGAAAGCGUGGGGAGCAAACAGG